UUUUCUAAAAAAAAAAUAGGGUUUCUUCCCAAUCGGCUUCCUCCUCUCGUCCUGUACACGCGAGGGAGAGCCGCCGCCUCCUUCCCUUCCAUACAAACCCUCUUCCCCGCCUCCCCUCGUCCGCCGCCGCCACCGACCAGCCGCUGUGGCCGACGUCGGGAAGCGCCGCCGCUUUGGCGCUACCACCACCCGUCCCCUCUCGGCGCUGCCCCUCUGCCUCCUCCCCUCCCGUCACACGACCUCGCCGCCCGGAAGACCACCCAUGGUGAGCCGCCGCCGAUCCACCCGCGCGAGGCGCCAUCGAUUAUCCCUCGGACACGCUGUUGUGCGCAGACACGCCCCCGACUCCCCGGCUCAUGCGCCGUCACGCCGACCACCUCCGGCCCUGACCUAGGGUUUGGUGGGCGAGCUCUUGAGAGCCGACCUCACGCCGACCCGAGGUGAACCGCGUCCCAUCCAUCACGGGGGCUGGAUCCUAAGGGGCAGAGGUGCAAUCCUGCAGAGCUGCUGGAUCCGAAAAUAAAGGUGUGAUUGGCCUGACGGCAACUCGGGCUUGCUGAGAACUAAGAGGCAGCAGCAGGGGGGAGAGGGAAAUGGGGAAGCCCCUAUGCCGGCGUGAGCGACGGUUCCCCAACGAGCUGGUGGCUCAUUACCUAUCACUCGGAGGAUGGCCGAGGCGGGGUUGUUCGACAACACGUCACCACCGAGCUGCUGCCGAGAUAAUGCCGAUGCUCAAUCCGGAUCUGGAUGUCUCAUCUCUGAACGUUAGAAACGCUGAGAAGUCCAUGUAAGCUUGCCCAUGCUGGUUCCGCGCAACAUUAUAUCUCUGGACUUUCAUACUUCCACAGCUCUAGACAUGAACUUCCUGAUAUGGUAACAAAAUUCUGGUGGAGAGACCUCCCAUAUUUAUUAGACUUGCUUGCUUUGGCAUGUUACUUCCUCUAAAUUUUAAAUAGGAUAUUCUUGGGAAUGAGAUGUAAUUUUAGGAAAUAAUUAGUAUUCAGCACUUUAUUUUAUCCUGAAACUAUUGAUCUCUCUCUCUCUCUCUCUCUCUCUCUCUACGUACAUCUACAUAUAUCGCACCAGCUGUUCCAGGUAGAGUAGUAGUGGCCACAAAAUUUUACUGAGAUAAUCAUGCGAGAUUACCGACGAAGAAAAUUCUCAUAGAAGGAUAGAAUGGCGGGUAUAGAUAUAAUAAUAUUUGGUGUCAGAUAUGUUUACUCAGAUGAUCCAAGAACUGAAUGAACCAUUGGAAUAUUUGGUGUCAGAUAUCUUUUUUUGUAUAAGAUAACUGGUUUAUCUGUUUAGUUGAUCCUUACUGUCGGUUGUCCAUGACGGAAGUUUAAGUUACUGUUGAAAUUGAUUAAGUUGAGUUUUCUAAUGUUUGCCUCUUUCUAAUGUCAAUUAUCAGGUAAGGACUCCAGUCUAAAUGUAAUCUAUAGUUCUAGGCUAUGCAAAUAAAAUGAAGUACCUGCCUAUUUUUAGUGAAUGCCCUUGGUGGCUUUGCCAUGGGCUCAAUAGUUAACAUAUGUUCGUGAUCUGGUAAUGCUUUUAUUUUUGUAGGCCGCAAAGGCCGUGCGUUGUGUGAAUACGUGUCAUAGUGGUCAGCAGUGGCAAGCCUCGCCGCGUCCAAACCAAUGUUAUUCGGCCUCAUGUAACAUAUUCCCUCUUUAGUUUUCAGUCUCCUACUAUUACUAAUGAAAUUUUAGUUAUCAAGGGUGUAUAAUAUCUUGGAAGCUUAGUGUCGUAUUUGAAUGUUCUUCUGCAUUUAAGCUAAAAUAUGUUAAUCUGCAUUGAUUUAUUUUCAGUUGAGUAUGAAGGAGCAAAGAGCUACAUAAUUCUUAUUCUUUAGUAUCCAUGUGAAUUAGUUUUCACCUCGGUUUGUGUGCUGAAAGCUAUUGAAACAUAUCCAUUGUAUUGUCAAAUGUUGUAUUGUGUGAGUCAUUUCUUUGUUGUGGAUGUCCUCGGCAAGAAUGAAGCAUGGACCUUAACGUCCCUAGGUAUAGCAGAUCAUCAUCCCUUCCUUUUCUAAUUUAUUUUCGUAGAAUAGGAUCAACACCCACAGUACAGUCUGGGUUCAUAAAGUGUGUGCAUUUAUCUCCAAUGCAUUUCUCACAAUCUGAAACUUCUUGCUUACAGUUUGUUAAGGUGAAGAAAUCUGCUUAGGCUACUGCUUCUUUUUUGAGUAUGAGUUCAUUUUCCUUUUCCAUAGGAUGGCUACGAUUGAAAAACUCUCUUCAGCUUCUUUUCUCUCUCUAUACAAUUCCUUUUCACUCUGAACCGAAUGAAAAAUCUGACGGGACUGCACAUAUAUCUUGCACUGAAUCUGGCCAUAUGUUUAAGUAAAAUAGUUCAGGUUAUAAGCCCGGAAAGAAAUUGAAUAUAAGAUGUGCUUUUGAAUUGCUGACGACCAAAGUCCGCAAGUAGGCUAUAGUCUUCUGAUCUUUCAGCUUAUUGCAGUAAUAUUAUUCCUUCUUCUUUUCUCCAGGCAGAAAAGACAUACUGAUUUGAAGACCACCUCAAUUGUUUGGGAUCUGGAUUGUCUAUACAUAUUUUUUUGGUAGUUGGCAGAUCUGGCCCAUCAUAAUUUUGUCCUACUACCAUGCAGUUCUAUCCUCGACUACCGGUAUAAUUUGCUUUUGGUGUAUCAUCCUAUCUUUGAACAGAGGGCUGCUGUUCUUACUCAAAUUCCACCUAAUUUAUAUGUAUAACUGAUUUAUAUGGUUAUUUUAUGGCAUAGCAGAUUGGUUCUGCUAUGAGCCAAUCCCUAAUUUAUAUGGUUCUUCUAUGCUAUCUUUUGAACUAGACGUAGGCGUUUGUCUGAAAAGAAGUGUUAUGCUUUGGUGUUGUUGUAGGUUCCAGAGGGGGCAGAAGAGGAAGCCAUUUGCACUCACCAGUAAGUUGGGCAAGGCUACAACCUUCCUUGGUGAGUACUGCCUCGGCUACAACCUCCCUCGGAGUAAUGGAAUGUUAAUUGGAUGGUGGUUGCAUGUUCAAGUAUGGGAAAUGAUGAGCUCCUGCUUCUUUUUAUGCCAGCUCUAUGCCGUAGGUCUCAGACAUAAAGAAUCUUCCGAGGACCAUUUAUGACGCAUUCUGGUGCAAAUAGUGGAAGUCUUUUAGUAAAUAUAUAUUCAUGUGAAACUGAAAUUCAGACAACCUUAGAUGAACAUUAUUUCCUGUCAGUGGAUUGAUAGUUGUACUAAAUCUUGCCCGAGGUACAUGCCUACCCUGAAACAUGUUAUUAAGGAAUGUAUAAGUGUAUAUACAAUGCUUGUGGUUAUGGUUGCUAUCUAUUAUGUUCUUAAUUGUGUUUAACUGAUGAUUUUGA